rnacentral:rRNA from 1 species
CCUACGGGCGGCAGCAGUGGGGAAUAUUGCACAAUGGGGGAAACCCUGAUGCAGCGACGCCGCGUGAGCGAUGAAGUAUUUCGGUAUGUAAAGCUCUAUCAGCAGGGAAGAAAAUGACGGUACCUGACUAAGAAGCCCCGGCUAACUACGUGCCAGCAGCCGCGGUAAUACGUAGGGGGCAAGCGUUAUCCGGAUUUACUGGGUGUAAAGGGAGCGUAGACGGCGGUGCAAGUCAGAUGUGAAAGUCGGGGGCUCAACCCCGGGACUGCAUUUGGAACUGUGCUGCUAGAGUGUCGGAGAGGCAAGUGGAAGUCCUAGUGUAGCGGUGAAAUUGGUAGAUAUUAGGAGGAACACCAGUGGCGAAGGCGGCCUGCUGGACGAUGACUGACGUUGAGGCUCGAAAGCGUGGGGAGCAAACCGGAUUAGAUACCCCUGUAGUC